CAAAAUCCUACUUGGCACAACCGCUGCAUUAGCUUUCCCAUCAACACACAUAUAGCCGCACCUUCAACGUCGAAGGUCGGGCUUCCCGAGAGAACGGGACCAGGACAAAGGCGUCCUCGCUACUUACGUAGCGGGGACGCC
rnacentral:sRNA from 1 species